AUGUUAGGUGAUAACAGAACUUUCUCUUUCUUCUAGCAGGAGGAAGUUGCAAUUGAACUCAUCUUCCCAGAGCCCAGAGUGGUUUUCUCGCUCCCGUAAGAGGUAGCUGCUACUUAUCAAAGGUUCCAGCUCUCUAGAUGCUACAAACACGAAGUUAUUUCAAUAAUACAUAUCUAAACCAGACUGCAAGGCUAACAUCAAAAAAGUGAUACACUUAUGUGAGAUUUUGAAAAGUGAAAAAUCAAAGGUGGAAUUGACCAGUAGAUGUAAAAGUACAACAAAUAAACAAAAAUGGCAAUGUUGAAAGUGAAACUGAAAUUCAACAGAAAUAAAAGAAAUAGCAGACUGGGGGGAUAUUGACUUUGACACCAUGAUGCCAGAGGAACUUAGUGAUGGCAAACUUAUCAAUAUAAAAUGAGGAUAUUGGUUGUCAACUAGGUUGUGUGGUGGUCCUUGAUCUUGUCCAUCAAGUCCUUUUUCCCAAAGGAUAACUGAAGAAGAUCACAUACAUUCCAACUUAUUGAGUCUGAUAGGUAUUCAUCUGAUGAGCUCCUCUUCAACUGAGGAUUGAAAUGCUGUUUUUCUUCCCUGGUACAAUGUUAAAGCUUUAAACUCUUGUCAAUGAUGUGAUGUUUCAUCUGCAAUGAUCUACACUAGAAAAAUAAAAAUGUAGUUACUGACAAAAAAGCAGGAACUACUGCUCUAAGGAAAAAAGGACAGCUACAUGAGGACCACACAACUCCUGGAAGAGGUUUCCCUGGCAACACAACUUUUCCAUUCAUCUGGUUGCAGUGUUUUCAUCCAGUAGCCUGUCACCUCACUCAAAAGCAGGGCAAUGGAGAGAAAGAAACUUACCAAGUUUUUUCUUUUAACUAGAGAGUAGCCUACUUAUUGGGCCCUGCAAUUAAUUUCAGUACUCCAGGCAGAUUUAUAAAGGAAGCUGCUGGAAGGAAUUCAUUCCCUUUUUGCUGUUCUGCCUUCCACCUUCCACUGUGUGAGGACACUGCAAGAAAGCCCUCAUCAGACACCAACUGCCAGCACCUAGAUCUUGGAAUUCUCAGCCUCCAGAACUGUGAGAAACACGUUUCUGUUUUUCUAUAAAAUAAUAAUAAUAAAAAACUUCCAUGCAGGAAAAAAAAUCAAGUUCAAAGGUCCUGUGGUGAGGGCAUACCAGCUUUGUUUGAGAAGCAGUAAUCAUGCCUGUGUGACUGUAAUGAAAGAAUAAAAGAGAAAUGAGCACAGAAGAAUAUAAUGUAGUCCUUUUCAUUUUAAGCAAGAAAUUUGGCUUCAAUUCUAAAUGUGAUAAGAAAAAAACAGAAGGUUCCAAACUGAGAAGUGACAUAAUAUGAAAUGUUUUAACAGAAUCACCUUGUUACCAUAUUGCAAAUAAAAUGAAAGUGCAUCAAGGGCAGAAGUAGGAAGGCAAGUUAUGAGGUCAUUUUGAUAAUCCAGAGGAGCUGGGAUGAUGACUUACAGCAGUAUAGUAGCAAGGGUUGGGUGAGAACGUGGAAUCCUGGGUAUAUAUUAAAGUUUCAGCAAAAAGGAUUUAUAGAUGAAACAGAUAUGGGUUAUGAGAAAGAGUCAAGUUAAAGAUUAUAUCAAAAUUUUUUAUCUGAACAACUGGUAGUAUUGUGGUGAAUCCUUACCCCAUCAAUUUACGUGACCGAUAACUGAGUGGGAACAUUAAGGAAGGGAUGGUUUGAGUGAGAAUCAGGAUCUCAGUUUGGAAAUAUUAAGUUGAAUAUGCCUAUUUAAUAAUCAAAUGAAAAAUAGUAUUUUUGUAAUUUUCAGUAUUUAUUUGGCAAGAGAUUAAAUAAUCUAUAGCAUUGUUACUACUUUCUCUUUUUCAUAAAAGUUAUUUUGGUAUAAAAUCAACCUGACUGGGAACUAUCCAAAUAUAUAAGCCUUUAGCUUUGACCUAUUACUUAUAUUUUUUUGCCAUUAAUAAUAUGAACAUCCACUAAACAAGAACUUGAGACUAUAACUCUUCUCUAUUAAAUCUUCAUAUUAAAUUAGCCAUUUAAAUAGGAUUAUUAUUUUCAUUUAUUGCUGAAUACUUUCCAUUACAUUCAAACUUAUUGAGACAUCCUUAAAUUUUGUAAUUUAUUUAACGGAUUAAUUCCUUAGCUUCUAAACUGGUUUUCUGUACGGCAACCCUAUUUUCUUCUUAAUAACUCAUCAUCUACAUCCCCCAAUGUCUUAUUUUUCCAAAACAAAAGUGCACUAAUGCCCUUCUAGGGCAAAAAUUUCUUUAAUGGCUUUCUAUUGUUAUAGAUAAAGUUCAAACUUAUUAUGACGGCCUAUAAUUUUGGGGAAAAAACUCACCUAAAAACAGUUUUUAAAAGAUUAGAAUUCAAAUGCUUGAAAUUUCAGUUAUUUUAUGAGCUUUCUAUUCAAACAUUUCAGGGAGCUAAGACAUUACAUACUACACUACUACUACUACUACAAAUAAUAAUAAUAACAACAAUUAUAGUUACUCAUCUCAGUUUUGGCAGAGGAUACCAUUUAUAUAAAGAAUGUAAUUUGAUUGUAGCUAUUAAAAUAGUUACUAGACAAGAACUAGGAUGAUGGUAACAUUGACUUUUUAUCUGAAUCCUGGCUAUAUGUUUUCUGUUUGAAAAAAAAGUCAUUAAGUAUAAAAUUAUAAUUUUUAUAAUUUUGGAAUACAUAUUAUAAUAACACAUUUUUUUUAAACUGAGAAUUUAAGAUUUAAAAAGUACAGUAGGGGAAAGAAAAGGAAAAUAUAUUUUCUAUGUGCUUGUUUUAAUAAAUAAUGCCACCGAGGAUGUAAGUUUUCAAUGUCUAAUUAUUAAAUCAGCAUUACUUUCAUUAUUUUAACAACCUUCAUGGGGUUCUUAUAUUGAGACUCAAAUUAAAUAUGUAAUAUUAAUCCUAAUAUAGCUAUUUUUUCCUAACAAGAGCAUAAAACUUCCAAAAUUUCAUUCUGCAUAUUUAUAACUGAAUUUAUGACUGACAUAUUUCUUUUUCAAAUCAUGUCCAUCAUUAUAUGAACGGGUACUGAAUUUAUCCAUAUUUACUUACGUCUUUCUUCAGCCCCUCUGUCAACCCACUUAUCUUUUUGAUAGCUCAGUGAGCUGGCACUAGUUUUGUACCUCAGGAUGUUUACUCUGGCUAAUUUUGCCACUGAUCUUCUAAUGUCUGGUGCUUGGCAAUAAAGUCCCAGUUGGAGUUUUCAACCAACAGCAGUUUGCAUUCAGUUACUUAAUCUCUGUUUUGCAAUCUUAGUACCUUCCUUUCUGAUUGAAUGAAGACAGUUGCUCCUAGGGAUACCUGAACCUGAAAUGAACUGAAAAUAUUUUAUAGCUUUUCAAUUUGCCAGGCAGUAGAAGAAAAAUUCAUACCAAUCCCAUUGCUACAAACAGCUGUUACUAUAAGGUGAUAUUGCUAUGGAAUCCUAAAAUAGAACAAGGCAAAUACCAUCCCUGUGAGGGUUCUACUAUAUUUUGUGGAUCUCCAGCUGGAAACUUAAUUGUAAUAUAAACUGAGCAUACAGAAACAGCUUUCCUGCUUCUAUUCAGCAUACUUUCACUGAAUUGGAUAAUUUAAUCAAUAAGUUACAACACUCUUUAGUGUGAAGCUGCAUAAAAUUCUAGAAGGAGAGAAAAUUUGAUCUUUGAUUUCUAUUAUCUUUAUCUUCCUGCAUUAUAUUCUUCCAUGACUUUAGCUAAUACCUCUCCCCAUCACAAUAAAGUCUUUAAACACUUAGAAUCUAUUUUCUGUUUCUUGUGUCCAUAUCCUAUAACCAAAGACCACCAGGAACACCCCUGAGUUUAUUCUUGUUUACAGCAAUAAAUACUUCACACAAUGGGGAAAUGUGAAGUUAUCUCAGUAAGAGAGUAUUAAAAGAACCUAUUGUAUCAUUUGGGAUUUGGUUAUUUGGGGAAGAAAUUAAGGAAGCAAGACUGCCCUGGAUUGUCUGUUACCAGGAAGUGGGAGCAAUUUUAUGAUUAGGUAUGUCACCAAAUCUUAUCUAUAUGGAUGACAUACUAGAGUGAGGCUAAUGUAAUUGAGGAUAAGGUAACUGCUAAAGAAACAACAGUCACUUGUAUCUGGUAUGUUGUGAUUUGGACAACGUUCCUGUUUUGUUUAUGCUCAGAUAAAAUUAAGGAUUGUUGUUGUUUUUGUCAUUGUCCAUCA
rnacentral:lncRNA from 1 species